AACUAAUAUAAAGUUGUAUCUGUCAAUUAUAUCUCAACUUUAAAAAAGGAAAAAUAAAGAAUAAUAGGUCAUGACCAAGCUGAGUUUAAACCAGGAACACGGGGAUGAGUCAAUAUCAAGAAAUACAUUAAUAAAAUUUGUCAUAUUGAUAAAUCAAAUAUAAAAAACAGAUAGUCACCUCCAUUGCUCUUGAGGAGGCAUUCGAUCAAAGGAACCCAUUCUCUUUUCUCUUUUCAAAUUCUAGUUAGUUAAUAUGCAGUGCUAAGUGCAACUCAUUAUUGAUAAAAACAUUCAUUAAAAUAGGAAUCAAUGGCUAUUUCCUCCACAUAAUAAAUUUUCGUAGUCCAAAGUGAUUAUCCUACUUAACAGGGAAACACAGAAGGUUGGCCAGGCAAAGUGAGAAAGAGGCCUAGUGCACUACUAUUGUUAACAUCCUGUUAGAGAUAUCAGCCAAAGCAAUUAGAUGAGAAAAAGCAAUGUGAGGUAUAACAUUAGAAAGGAAGAGGAAAAAUUAUUCUUGUUUGCAAAUAAUCUUUGGGGGGAAAAAUCAAGAGAAUCAACUUAAAUAUUACUAUAAAUGAAAACUCAGUAUGAUCACAGAAAUAAAAAUUCAUACACAAAAAAACAACAGUUUUUCUGUAUACAAGUAACCACCAGUAAGAAGAUACAUUGUAAGAGAAAAUCCCAUUCAUAAUACUAACAUAAAAAUGAAAUGUCUAGGAAUGAGCUUAAAAAGGUAACGUAUAAAAUUUAGAUGACUAAAAUGUUAUGAUUCUUGACAAACAUAAAAUGAACCUGAACAUAUAGAAAGAUACAACAUGCUCUUAGAUGGGAAGAACAGAUUUCAUGAAGAUGUCAGUACUUCCUAACCUAAUUAACAAAUUUAACAUAAUCUUCCUUCCAACCCCUACCAUCCCCCCAAAAAACCUGAAAAAUUUCAGCCUAGAUAAGAUGAUUCUAAAGCUUAUAUGGAAAAAUGAACAGGAGUACCAGGAAAACAACAAAAACAAAAUAGCAAUGAGGGGAGAUAAGCCCUAUUCAAUAUUAAAACUUGCUACAAAUGUUCAAUAAUUAAAGGAGUGUGAAAGAGGCACAUGUACAGUCAGAGAUCAAUGAACAGGAUAAAAAAUGUGCCACAUGAGACAUAAAUAAUACUGGGAUUUAGUUUACGAUAAAGGUGGCAACACAAAUCUCUGGAAUAAAGAUCAUUAAUUUCUUUCCAGGGCUGGACAACAAUCCUCUAGGAAAAAAUGAGCGAAAGGACAAGAAUAAAUGGAAAACAAGAGACAUGACAAAUGGCCCUUAAACAUACGACAAUAUCCUCAACUCCAUUCAUGUUAUGGAUUGAACAGUUUCCCUCCAAAAUUUAUAUGGUGGAAUUCUAAUUUGCAGAACUUCAGAAAGUGACCUUAUUUGGAAAUAGAGUCUUUACAGAGAUAAUGAAGUUAAAAUGAUGCCAUCAGGUUACACCCUAAUCCAACAGGAGUGGUGUCCUUGUUGGGUGAGGACAUCUGCACACAGAUACAUGGAGAGUGAAGACAAGGUACAGGGAGCCAGAGAGAGAACGGCCGCCUACAAGUUGGGAAGGCGGCCUGGGAUAGAUCCUCUCUCACUGCCCUCAAAAGGCACCCACCCUAAUGACAUCUGGAUCUUGGACUUUAAGCUGCCAGAACCGUGAGACAAAAAAUUUCUUCUGUUUAAGCCACUUAGGCAGUGGUCCCUAGAAAACUAAUACAGCUGCUAUGAGAAAUGCAAGAGUUAUGAAAGGUAUACCGUAGCCUUAAAAAUGACGGCCCCUUUGUGUCUGAGUAAAAGAGGUCUUCCAACUUUAUACUAUAUACUUCCAUAUUGUUUUACUGUUUACAACAUAUCUUACAUUUGUAAUUCAAAAUUAAGUAAAAAAUGCAAUAAUCUUUCAUAAAACUUUUUAAAACUUCUCUUAUUAUUAUAUAUAAAUACAUACGUAAACACAAACAUGCUAUUUUUCUUUAAGAUGGAGUCAAUCAUAUUACAAAUAUUACUUUAUGUUUUUAACUUAAAAUAUGCUGUCAGCAAAAUAUAUUUAUCUCAAUUCUCUUGAAAGGCUACACUAUAUUUCACUGUUUGUGUAUAAUAAUGUUUAUAUAAUCAAUAGUCUCUUAACGGAUAAAUUAUUUAUUUCUUUUUUAAAAGUAGGUCACGCCCAGCAUGGAGCCCAGCACAGGGAUUGAACUCAUGACCUUCAGAUCAAGACCUGAGCUGAGUAGUAGAUCAAGAGAUGGAAGCUUAACCAACCAGUUGUAGCCUCUCAGGUGAUCUAACAGUCGCCGGAUCUCAGUGUCAUACUCCACCCAUUCUGGGACAAUCCUGGCAGCAGCUUGUAGCUUGGGUUCUUUUGUUUUGGGAUUAUUGCACUGAAAAUGUAAAUAAAGUUUUAUUAAUGAAAAACUA